CGUAAAGGUGCAUGAGUGGUGUUUGGUUUGUUUCGGGUGGUUGGCUCUUUGCUUUUGCAACAACUUCCACCCAGCUUACCUCUUCAAUCUUAUGUCAAUGUUUGUAAAGCAUUGAUGCAUGUUUGGUUUCUUGUGUUGCAUGCCUAACCAAUGGCAUCGGUUGAAGAACUCUUGUUCUUUUUCAUCUUGUGUUGCUCAUGUGACUUUAGAUGAACCUUGAAGCGUGCUUUGUGCUCCACUCUUUUGAUGUAUACACUUUAAUAGUGUGGCUCACUGAGUAUCGCUUGGUUUCAUGGAUAUAGUAUUGAUGUUGGCAUGAGAACAUUARUAGCUUCUUAUAUGCCAUAUUCUAGCUUUUAUAAAACGAUUGUCU
rnacentral:misc_RNA from 1 species